AAUAGAUACCCCGGUAGUCCAUGCCGUAAACGUUGGGCACUAGGUGUGGGGGACAUUCCACGUUUUCCGCGCCGUAGCUAACGCAUUAAGUGCCCCGCCUGGGGAGUACGGCCGCAAGGCUAAAACUCAAAGGAAUUGACGGGGGCCCGCACAAGCGGCGGAGCAUGCGGAUUAAUUCGAUGCAACGCGAAGAACCUUACCAAGGCUUGACAUGGACCGGAUCGCCGCAGAAAUGUGGUUUCUCCUUUUGGGGCCGGUUCACAGGUGGUGCAUGGUUGUCGUCAGCUCGUGUCGUGAGAUGUUGGGUUAAGUCCCGCAACGAGCGCAACCCUCGUUCCAUGUUGCCAGCGCGUAAUGGCGGGGACUCAUGGGAGACUGCCGGGGUCAACUCGGAGGAAGGUGGGGACGACGUCAAAUCAUCAUGCCCCUUAUGUCUUGGGCUUCACGCAUGCUACAAUGGCCGGUACAAAGGGUUGCGAUACUGUGAGGUGGAGCUAAUCCCAAAAAGCCGGUCUCAGUUCGGAUUGGGGUCUGCAACUCGACCCC
rnacentral:rRNA from 1 species